rnacentral:rRNA from 1 species
UACGGAGGAGGCAAGCGUUAUCCGGAAUUAUUGGGCGUAAAGCGUCCGUAGGUGGCUAGUCAAGUCUGCGGUCAAAGACUGAGGCUUAACCCUGGAAAGGCCGUGGAAACUGACGAGCUAGAGUGCAGUAGGGGUAGAGGGAAUUCCCGGUGUAGCGGUGAAAUGCGUAGAGCUCGGGAAGAACAUCGGUGGCGAAAGCGCUCUACUGGACUGCAACUGACACUCAGGGACGAAAGCUAGGGGAGCGAAUGGG